AAAGCCUACAACUCUAGUAAUGAUCCCUCCGUAGGUGAACCUGCGGUAGGAUCAUUA
rnacentral:rRNA from 1 species